CUUCCUCCUUCCUCCUCCUCCUCGCCUCACCGUCACUCUCAAACAACCCCCCCCUCCCCACGCCUCGCGCCCGCUUCCCCCCGCCGCCCCAAACUCCUUCCUCAGGACCGUGGGAUGCUGGUGAGCUCUGGUGAGAGUUGCCGGUCUCCAUUUCUAAGCGGGGAGCCACCGGGAGCGACCGACCCUUCUGCCCCACCCCAUUUCCCCGCAUCCCGGGUGCAACCGGAUGGCAAAAAUCAAAGCUGGCUCCAAUUUACCCCAGUAGUCUUCCUUUGAACACUCAUAAGCCUAUUUUACCAUUGCGGACGAGAUAGGCAGGAAAAGGAGCGUUUGACUUGGAGUCUGCCCCUGAUUUUAAUCCAAAGGAGCUGCUUUUGGAAUGGGUGUGUCCGGCUUUGGUGUUUGCCUGCUGAGGAAGAGGCCCACUCUUUUCUCCAGUCUUGGUAUGCGGAUUUCUCUCUCUCCAAGUAAUUCCUUAGCAUCCCCUUGAAUGGCAUCUACCACACUAGAUAAUAUUUUCAACCCACAAGGCCGAAACAACUUUCCUUAACUGAAAUGACUCCAGCACAGCUAUUCACUAGAAGACAUCCCCCUUGAUUUCUUGGGGGGCCUGUAAGAUGACUGAAGUUGUAGACCUGGUACAGAGCUGAGCACCCUUGGUGUCUUGUCACUGAAACCCCCUCCUGAUGUGUCCAGGGGAUGGCUGCAAGCAUUCUGAACAGGCACACAGGAACAUUUCAGCUACCUGCAGCCUCAUCCGAUGAUGUUUAAUGAUCCCAGCUAGCUCGAUCUUCUGUGCACCAGCAGGGAUUUCUUUAAGUUGGCCAGCUGUAUAGAACAUUGUUGUCAAGUUUAGUGUACUUGGAACCAACCUUUUAAAAUAAUGGCAUAUCUAAAGACAGGUUAUAUACAUAGCACACACCUAUAUGUGUGCAUUUAUGCGUGAAUGUGUGUGUAUACAUGUAUAUAUAUACUUAAGUGCACACAUAUGUAUAGAAAUGCUGAUGCUAUUCACCUUUUUGAAAUCUUUACAGCUAGUAUUAACAUGAAUGUGCUGUUAGAUUGGCAGUGUUAAACAUUUUUGUUGGAGUUUACUUCUGUAACAUAAAAUCAUAAAGAUAAGCUGUGAAACUCGUGCAGCUGAUGACAUAAUUCUAGAAUCUUGUGAUGCUGAAUCUCAUAUUUCUAGGAGUGUGGGAUGGAUGUUCCUCGCUGAAAUAAUUAUACUGCCUAUUGCAAUAUAUGUUUCCUUGUUUUUAUGUGGGCACUGAGAUGUCCAAACUAUUAAAUGUAUAUGGUACAAUGA